UACGGCCAUGUUAGGUUUAAACUCCGGUUCUCGUACGAUCACUGAAGUUAAGCAACUUAGUCUGGUCAGUACAUAGAUGAGUGGCCGCUUGGGAAUACUAGGCACAGUA